CAGAGUUCAUGCCCGAAAGGGUAGACCUCCCACCCUUGUGUAUUAUUACUUUGUUGCUUUGGCGAGCUGCCUCUGGGCCUCGUACGCUCGCCAGAGACUAACCAAACUCUUUUUAUUCAUGUCGUCUGAGUACUAUAUAAUAGUUAA
rnacentral:rRNA from 1 species